CUUUGGUUUGUUUGUUUGCUUUACUUUCUUGGUUGAUUGUUUCUUUCUGAAUAAUGUGGCCUUUAGCUGUCCUCAUUCUGUCAUAUGGAAUUUGGUUUUCUUCCUUAAUGAUCAGAAAGGAGCUAUAAGAGCUGGUCAACCAAUAAUAGGCACUUUUCAAUCUGGAACUCAGGUCUUGCUAAACUGUAAAGGAAACAUUAUAUUUUAAAAAAUAAACAGAGGAUGAUAUGAGAAUUAAAAAAAAAGAGAGAGAGAGAGAGAGAGAGAAAGCCAGAGUUUUACUUCAACAGAGUGAGGGAAUGAUUAUUAAGAAAAGCUAAGAUGACCAUAGACUAUUGAUAAGACCAUUGAUAAGCUGAUAAGGAGCAUUAAUUAAAUCUUUCAAUGGAGUUAUCUUUCAAUAUGUGACUCUGAGAACUGUGGAGAAAAAGAAUAAAAUGAAAAAGAAGGCAAUUACUGCCUGAGGGAAGAGUGUGUCUUUAUUGCUAGGCAUUACACCACCAGAAAGACUGCAUGGUGCCCUGUACCAUGCACUUCUAUGUGACAGUUGCAGCUGCCAGUUCAAGAAUUCUUACUAAACAUGUGCUCCUCUCUCCAAAAUCCCAUUACAAUCACAAAAGAAAUAUAAAAAUAUAGUCACUGCAGCUCCAAAAAGGAAGAAAAGUUGUCAGAACACGGGAUGAUUAAUAAUGAUCUGCAACAUUUACUCACCAACAAAUACUAAUGAGUGUAAUGUGUGCCAGGCAGGCAGUCUUUGCUCCUGUAAACCUGCAUUCGUGCGGCAGAGAGCUCCCAUUCUAAGGGAGUGGUUCACAUUCGAAGAAACUCCCAUGCAGGCAAAAAAAGAGAUUCACCAGGAAAGGAUUUUCCCAAUAGAAUCACAGAAUAACUAAGGUCUCCAAGUCCCCAUCUGUAGACACAAGGAAGAUUCCUUAAGUCAUGAGAACAUUCUAUACAGAGUUAUGCCAAAUUUUUAGAAAAUAUAUACAAAAAGGAUACUUUUCUCAGAAAGCUAAUAUGUAUAUAAACAAACACACCUAUAAAUUAAUAUAUAUGUAAUAUAAAUACAUAUUUAACUCAAUAAGAAGUAGAAAACAUGGAUCGACGAAUAGACACUUGAGAAAGUGAAAGUUGGUCGAAUGACAACUAAACUUUUUUAAAGGCGUCAGACUCAUAUCGUAGCCAGAUUUGCCUAUAUCGUUAUGGAAAAUAUAAUACCCAGGUUAUAUAAAUUUGCGUAUUCUGAUUCGAAAUUUUUAAAGUUGACAGGAUAUUUUCCAGCUCAUUCAACGAAACUAUAACCCUGAUACAAAACCAGACAGAAGUAGAAAAAAAAAAUUAUGGGAUAAUCAAUUACGUUACAUUCGUUAGCAAACUAAAGGAGAUAUACAUAUAAACAUUUUAAAAGAUCAUUGAUUCUACUUAGCGUUUGAUAAAAUUAAACAUAUUUUGAUUUUUUUUAAUUUAUAAAUAAAUGAGAAAUAAAAAGAAACUUAUUUUAUAAACAUUAGCUCUGAGAAAUUGAUAGCAAACAUUUUACCACUUGGUAAAACAUUUGAAACAUGCUCAUCAAAAUUAGAAAGAUGAUAAAGAUGCCCACCAUCACCACUGCUCUUUGAUGUUGGCAGUCCUAGCCAGUAAAAAAUGCAAGAAAAAAUAUGAAGCUAUACAUUCAUUUUAGAAACAAUGAAAUCAAAACCUCAUUAUUUAGAUGACAAGAAUGUCUAAACAGAAGACCCAAAAGAAUCUAAUUAAAAAAAAAUUCUAUAAGAACUAAUAAAAAAAAGUUUAAAACAGGACGGAAUUAAAUGCUUUUAAAUAUAUUAGAAAUAAUCAGUUAUAAAAUUAAUGGAACAAAAAUAGUAACAGAAACUAUGAAACACCUAGAAAAAAACCCGAAUAAAAUUUUGCAUUACUUUUAUUGAGUAUAAAAGAUGCUCUGAGAAGACCUAUUAUGUUUAUAAAUAGGGUAUAGAACUUGGUAAAUAAUUUCUCAGAUUGAUUUAGAAAAGAAAAAUGUUCAAAAGCGGACAAAAUUUUUAUUAAGAAGUAAUAAAAGCAUGUAGUCACUUUCUUUAAAACAUACCAAAGCAAAUUAUAAGACUAUGGCAAUAUUUAAAACAUAGAUUUGACUCAGAAGUAAACAAACAGGUCAAGUUCACAAAAUGGAGAAUUCAGAAACAAAUCCAUAUAGGCAUGCUAAUAUACAAAUAGCUAUAUUUCAAAACAAUAGGGAAAGAAAGGCUUCUCUACUAAAUGGAACUGUAGUCAUUAGCCAUCUGUUUGGAAGUGUGUACAUGUAGAUGUAGAUGAGAUAUAGAUAUACAGAAAAAAAUGAGAUUUCUUACAUCGCACCAUAUGCAAAAGAAUUUCUAGAUGGAUUAAAGAACUAAAAGUAAAAGAAAGAAUGAAUACCAUAAGAAUACUAGCAGAAAAUCUCAGAGAACACAUUCAAAACAUCAGAGAUAUGAAAAUCUAUCUAUCAGCGGGUUAAGAACCCGACAUAGUAUCCAUGAGGAUGCCAGUUAGAUCCCUGGUCUCGCUUUGUGGGUUAAGGAUCUGGCAUUGCUGCAAGUUGCAGCAUAGUUCGCAGAUGCAGCUCAGAUCUCGUGUUGCUGUGGCUGUAGCAUAUGCCCCAGUGGCAGCUCUGAUUCAGCCCCUAGCCUGGGAAUUUCCAUAUGCAGCAGGGGCAGCCCUAAAAGGAAAAAAAAGCGGGGGGAUGCCAUAAGACCGGCAAAAAUAAAACAAACUUAUAAUAUCCAGUGCAGGUAUAUAUACAGGCAAAUAGGCACGUGUAGAUUCUGAUAGAGAGAAUAAAUUAAACAUGGUAACUGUAGAUUGAUGUAAAACAAAAUUAAAGUACACAUUAUCUUUUAACCUGGAGGUUCCAACUUUUGGUAUCCAACUCCAAAAAUUGCCCACAACACAUGCAUUGUAUGAAGAUGUUAAUAGAUAAUAUUAUUUGCAAUAGAAAAUUGGAAAUUAUCUGGAGUUCCCAUUGUGGCUCAGUGGUUAGUGAACCCAACUAGCAUCCAUGAGGAUGUGGGUUCAAUCCCUGACCUUGCUCAGUGGGUUAAGGAUCCAGCAUUGCCAUGAGAUGUGGUAUAGGUCACAGAUGUGGCUUGAUCCUAUAUUGCUGAGCUCUGGCCUAGGCCAGCGGCUACAGCUCGCAUUGGACCCCUAGCCUGGAAACCUCCAUAUGCUGCAGGUGUAGCCCUAAAAAAAAAAGACAAAAAGACCAAAAAAAAAUUGGAAACUAUCUAAUAAUCAAUAAUUGUCCAAUGGUUACACAAUGUGCAAUAGAUCUAGUCAAUGGAAUACUCCACAUAAUACAAAAGAAUGAGAAAAAUAUAUACAUAGAAAGAGACUGAUUAAAGCAUCUCCAAUCAUGACUAUUAUGUAAGCUAACAUAUAUCUAUUCUCUUCUUUUUCCUCACUGAUGGAACUUCAAGUUUACUUGAAGUAGAAAUGUUUCCAGAUAAAGUCUUCUAUGCAAAAGAGGUAGCCAGAGCUGUAAACAAAAUUUAAAGAGCACUGACUCAGGCUUUUAACUUGUUCUUACAUUCUGCCCAUCUCUUUCUUCUUUAUUCUUUGGACUAGAGAGAUAAAAUGGCUAGAGCUCCAGUAGCUAUCUUGGGUCAUGAAGUAAACUCAAGGAUAAGAGCCAUAUG
rnacentral:lncRNA from 1 species